rnacentral:rRNA from 1 species
CCCUUAGAUGUUCUGGGCCGCACGCGCGCUACACUGUUCGACGCAGCGAGUCUUAACCUUGACCGAAAGGUUUGGGUAAUCUUCAGCAAAGUCGGACGUGAUGGGGAUCGAUCAUUGCAAUUAUUGAUCGUGAACGAGGAAUUCCUAGUAAGUGCAAGUCAUCAGCUUGCGCUGAUUACGUCCCUGCCCUUUGUACACACCGCCCGUCGCUACUACCGAUUGAAUGGUUUAGUGAGAUCUCUGGAUUGACGCUGGCUAGGGGGCGACCCUUGGCCAGACUGCUCGAGAAACUGCUCAAACUUGAUCAUUUAGAGGAAGUAAAAGUCGUAACA